rnacentral:RNase_P_RNA from 1 species
UAGGAAAUUCAGGCAAUCGCUCUCAACUUUGUUGAGGGAGGAAAGUCCGGACUUCAUAUGGCAGCGUAGGGGGUAACGCCCCUCCACCGUAANNGUAAGGUGAGGACCAGUGGAACAGAGAGAAGGUCCAGAGCUAUGAUCUUUAAGCCGGGAACGGGAGGCUUUUAGGGAGCUGCUGGAGUGAAAGCAGCUAAACUCUACGCGAAGCAAGAUCAAAUAGGGAGGCGUUAAGCAUAGCCAGUGCGUGUCUUCGGGUUGAACGCAUAAGGUUUUCAGUAAUGAAGAUCUCAGAUGAAUGAUUGCCGAACUUCGUAGAUAUCACUUUUGUGAUGAAUUGAGUCUGCGGAGGGAACAGAAUCCGGCUUAUCGAAUUUCCGAUUCU